AUUGAACGCUGGCGGCAGGCCUAACACAUGCAAGUCGAACGAGUGGCGGACGGGUGAGUAAUGUCUGGGAAACUGCCUGAUGGAGGGGGAUAACUACUGGAAACGGUAGCUAAUACCGCAUACCAUCAGAUGUGCCCAGAUGGGAUUAGCUUGUUGGUGGGGUAACGGCUCACCAAGGCGACGAUCCCUAGCUGGUCUGAGAGGAUGACCAGCCACACUGGAACUGAGACACGGUCCAGACUCCUACGGGAGGCAGCAGUGGGGAAUAUUGCACAAUGGGCGCAAGCCUGAUACAGCCAUGCCGCGGGUGUGAGGAGGGCCUUCGGGUUAUAAAGUACUUGCGGCGGAGAAGCGUUGGCCACAGAAGAAGCACCGGCUAACUCCGUGCCAGCAGCCGCGGUAAUAC
rnacentral:rRNA from 1 species